rnacentral:lncRNA from 13 species
CUCCCCCGCCCCCAUCCCAUCCUCUGACCCUGCCCGGCCCUGGAACCCCAGCGUUGGCACCGUGAACGCGCAUUUACCGUCUGCGGGACGCCGCCCCCGACAGGAUGUCGGCCGCCGACUGUCCGGGCCAGAACUCCUCACCCGAGGCCGAAGCCGGCGGCCAGGACACUGCCCCCAGCAACAAGGCGACAACCCCGAAUGCCGCCAUGGCCGCGGGCGGCCACGCACUUCCGGCGGACGCGCUCCGCCCCGGAAACACGCUCCGCCCGCGGAACGGGUGCCCAGUAGCCACGGCAACGCCAGAGCCCACCUCCCCGCGCAUGCGUAGGCGCCGUCCCCGGCGGGCUGAGGCGGGAUCCGGAACUGCGCGGAAAAUUCCAGGCCCAGAGGACCAAGCUGGUGGUUGGUACUUAGAAAAGCAAUGAUAGGCAUGCGGAUGAGGAGGGGCCGCUUAGCCCUGCCUGGUGUGUGAGGCCAGCGUUGCCCUGAAGGCAAAGUCAGCCAUCACCAGACAAUAGAACCAGAGACCAGUGUCUUUCGUGCAUCUAGACACAGAGCAUUUCAGAAAACUAGCAAAAGGAAUCUGUCCACCUGUUGCCUAAAAAAGCCAAACUUUGGAAAAUACUUGAAGAGAUUCAUUCUGAGCCAAAUGGGAGGACCAGGACCCGUGACACAGCCUCAGGAGCUGGCCAGCGUGGUGAAACCCAGUCGUCUCUACUAGCAAUACAAAAACAAAACAAAACGACACUGGACUCUCAGCCAGUCUCUUCAGAAUCAGAAAAAGAGCUGGAAAAAGAAGGGGAGUGUCUACAAGAUGUGAAUUUCUCCACAGGAGACAGCUUUGCGGGGCUAUUUGGAAAUUUGUCAAAGAGAUCUAUUUUGGGUAAAAUACACUGCUCCUUUCAGGGCCUGCUGUCACAUGAUGCUGUACCAGAGUCAGAUUGGAACUUGGCGUCUUAUUACUACAGAGUCUGCUCUGUCAGUCUUAUGACCUGUUUUAAUGCCAGUGCUGGUCAGCUGCACCUGAACUCCAAAGGGAGGGUUCUUUUAGAGCUGCAGGAAGAGGAUAUACAUGCAGGUCAGAGUGGAGUCCCAGCACCCAGAAAUGCCAGGUGCUGGACAAAGCCUCGGGGGGAAAAAGACCUCAGCCAGACGCAAAAGCAUGAGCUUAAAAAAAAAAUAAGAGAUGUUGAACUUCAUCAAAAAGUAAGCCUUUCUGGUCUUAGAAAGACACUUAAAGGGCA